UCUACAUCAGUGUGACUGCUCUGAGUGGACAUUCAUCCUUUGUAACAUCUGUGAUUAACUCGCUGCUCAAAAUGCGGACAGAUCUGUCGCUCUCCUCCUGCACUGAAAGGUCUCAUCACAGGAGGAGGUUGAUUUGGGUUGCUGGGUUCGAUCAGUCACAUCCACACCGUGAACCAGGUGAUGAGAUUCAUUAAAUAGCAAGACGCUGUGGAUCUCUAGAGGAGGACAGAUCUACCUGUGAGCGAGCGAGAGCGCUUCUGAAGUCAUACGCCUGAGACACUGAGCACCAGAGGAGCACUGGCAGCUUUCAGACACAGGAGCAUCAUCACCAACAGCUGAGGGAUGGUACCAGGACAAAUCCUUGAUCUGCAAUGGAGUCACACGGAAGAAAACCCUUGUUUUUGUUGGUUUUCCUCAGUUAUUGUUAUGCUAUUGAACCAUUGUAUAAAUUGUAGUGUAGUAAUGUAGGAGAUUAGAGAGGAUGGUUUAUAGUGGGAGAGGUACAGUGUGUAACCCUCACUAUUUAAACCCUUCAUGAUCCCUUUGUGGCUGUCAUACAGUUUUACUUUAUAAGGAUGAUAUUCAAGCUGUGGUUUACAGUUUAUUAUUAAGUUAAAAAUAGACUUUGAAUGGAUAUUAACACUAUGAUCCUCUGAUGAAUACAGGAGACAGUAUGUCUCUUAUACUUAUGGAAAGUAAACACUGUUGUAAUUUGUACAAAAUCAAAACACGUCACAACACAUCUAGAAUCAUCGAAAGUCCAUUAAAUGCAAAUAGGCACAUACGUCCCAUUUUCUAAUCCAACUCAGUAUUUGUUCACAUAUGUUACAUUUUCUUCCUUAGGAUUAUGAUAAUGGAAGCUCUUUGCUUAAUUUGGCUGGAGAGAGAGAGUUGAUUCAUGUUAUUGAAUUAAACAUUGAUUCAAUGAAAAGGUGCUAAAUAAUAAUAACUCUCUGUGGGCUUAUCGCCCCAAGAAACCACUUUCAUAUUAAAUGUAGUCAUUUGACCAUUUAUUCAUAUAAAAACUCCUUAAAAGUGGAGCUUUAAAUAUUUCAGCUGACAUUUCUUCAUUUCCAAGACACCUGCACAGUAACUGAACAAAGUGAUUCCACUUUUUCCACAAACAAUUGCAAACACAACAACAUCCCAACAUAAGUGUCAAAUCUUUUGAAUAAUGGCUGCCAUUGGUCAAGGAACUUCAUAUGAAGUUUUGUGUGAUCAAAUCAUGCAUUGAUAACAUCGUGUGUGCCAAAAUCUGUCAGUUGUUUUGUUUGGAUAAAGAUUAUCUUCUAAUG